CUAGAGAAGUUACGCANGAGGUCCAUAUGAGAUCUCUAUUUUCUGCUUGGUCUAGCUGCCAAUUUUAGUUUUCAAAAAUGCAGUCUCAUAGCUCACCUGGUUAGAGCGCUACACUGAUAAUGUAGAGGUCGGCAGUUCCAGUCUGCCUGAGACUACAAGGUUGUCGAAAGACAGGCGAGAAGUUUGCCCUGAGCGAAGUCGAAGGGAGUCUGCCUGAGACUACUAAUAACGUUCAUACUAUAUUGAAAGGAAAUUCUAGGGGUUGAGUAGUAGUUGUGCCUGACUACUAACUACUAUGUACUAACUACUAGUAUAUGGGGGAUUAGCUCAGCUGGCUAGAGCGCCUGCCUUGCACGCACGAGGUCAUCGGUUCGACUCCGAUAUUCUCCACCAAGGACAACAAGGUUUCUGUGGUUUUAGCUGUUAAUUUUUUUAAUCAACUAACUACAGGGUCGGGUCUGGAUAGUUCAUUGAGCAUAUUGGGAAAAGAAAUACGAGAAAAGCAAUUUUUUCAGUUAAAGACUUUUGUAAGUUUUUAGCUAUAUAAGUAAACUCAUUUAAAGAGCAAA
rnacentral:tRNA from 1 species